CCAGAGAUGGAUUGGUGCCUUCGGGAACUGUGAGACAGGUGCUGCAUGGCUGUCGUCAGCUCGUGUUGUGAAAUGUUGGGUUAAGUCCCGCAACGAGCGCAACCCUUAUCCUUUGUUGCCAGCGGUCUGGCCGGGAACUCAAAGGAGACUGCCAGUGAUAAACUGGAGGAAGGUGGGGAUGACGUCAAGUCAUCAUGGCCCUUACGACCAGGGCUACACACGUGCUACAAUGGCGCAUACAAAGAGAAGCGACCUCGCGAGAGCAAGCGGACCUCAUAAAGUGCGUCGUAGUCCGGAUUGGAGUCUGCAACUCGACUCCAUGAAGUCGGAAUCGCUAGUAAUCGUGGAUCAGAAUGCCACGGUGAAUACGUUCCCGGGCCUUGUACACACCGCCCGUCACACCAUGGGAGUGGGUUGCAAAAGAAGUAGGUAGCUUAACCUUCGGGAGGGCGCUUACCACUUUGUGAUUCAUGACUGGGGUGAAGUCGUAACAAGGUAACCGUAGGGGAACCUGCGGUUGGAUCACCUCCUUACCUUAAAGAAGC
rnacentral:rRNA from 1 species